rnacentral:lncRNA from 1 species
UAAAUGUUUAUUCCCUUUCUUCUUCCCAUAGGGAUCCAAAUUAUAAAGCAUCACUGCCUCAGAGGAUCAGAAGUCCAAAGAUGAAAGCAUAUUUGGUAUAAAUGAGCUGUAGUACAAGAGCAGCAACUAAUUCAUGAGAACUGGCAUAAGAUACUCUAUUGGAAGUCCUUCCUAUGAAAGAAGAAUGGCAUACUGCUGUCUUAAAAGCCAGCUGGACAAAGGAUGGAUGCUGGAGGAGUCCACUUUGAGUGCUUACAGAAACAAGUUUGGGCUUUUUAGUCUGCUAACUGCCUCAUUUGGCUCCAGAAAUGGAAACAGUACAGCCCCACUACCACCAGCCAAGUAAGUAAUGCUAUAGGUGACUCAUCUGGCUAGGCCAGAGUCUGUAUGAAAAUGUGGCCACUAUUCA